rnacentral:rRNA from 1 species
AGCCUGAUGCAGCCAUGCCGCGUGUGUGAAGAAGGCCUUCGGGUUGUAAAGCACUUUCAGUCGUGAGGAAGGUGGUGUGUUAAUAGCACUAUCAUUUGACGUUAGCGACAGAAGAAGCACCGGCUAACUCCGUGCCAGCAGCCGCGGUAAUACGGAGGGUGCGAGCGUUAAUCGGAAUUACUGGGCGUAAAGCGCAUGCAGGUGGUUUGUUAAGUCAGAUGUGAAAGCCCGGGGCUCAACCUCGGAAUAGCAUUUGAAACUGGCAGACUAGAGUACUGUAGAGGGGGGUAGAAUUUCAGGUGUAGCGGUGAAAUGCGUAGAGAUCUGAAGGAAUACCGGUGGCGAAGGCGGCCCCCUGGACAGAUACUGACACUCAGAUGCGAAAGCGUGGGGAGCAAACAGGAUUAGAUACCCUGGUAGUCCACGCCGUAAACGAUGUCUACUUGGAGUUGUGGCCUUGAGCCGUGGCUUUCGGAGCUAACGCGUUAAGUAGACCGCCUGGG